rnacentral:misc_RNA from 1 species
GAUGAAGAACGUAGCGAAAUGCGAUAAGUAAUGUGAAUUGCAGAAUUCAGUGAAUCAUCGAAUCUUUGAACGCACAUUGCGCCCGCCAGUAUUCUGGCGGGCAUGCCUGUCUGAGCGUCAUUUCAACCCUCAUGCCCCUAGGGCGUGGUGUUGGGGAUCGGCCAAAGCCCGCGAGGGACGGCCGGCCCCUAAAUCUAGUGGCGGACCCGUCGUGGCCUCCUCUGCGAAGUAGUGAUAUUCCGCAUCGGAGAGCGAUGAGCCCCUGCCGUUAAACCCCCAACUUUCCAAGGUUGACCUCAGAUCAGGUAGGAAUACCCGCUGAACUUAAGCAUAUCAAUAAACGGAGGA